rnacentral:rRNA from 1 species
AUUGAACGCUAGCGGGAGGCUUAACACAUGCAAGUCGAACGAGUGGCGGACGGGUGAGUAAUGUCUCGGAACCUGCCCGAUAGCGGGGGAUAACUACUCGAAAGGGUGGCUAAUACCGCAUACCAUCGGAGCGGCCGAGAUCGGAUUAGCUAGUUGGUGGGGUAAAGGCUCACCAAGGCGACGAUCCCUAGCUGGUGUGAGAGGAUGACCAGCCACACUGGAACGGAGACACGGCCCAGACGCCUACGGGAGGCAGCAGUGGGGAAUUUUGGACAAUGGGGGAAACCCUGAUGCAGCCAUCCCGCGUGUGUGAGAAGGCCUUCGGGUUGUAAAGCACUUUUGGCAGGGAAGCGUUACCUGCAGAAUAAGCACCGGCUAACUACGUGCCAGCAGCCGCGGUAAUUC